rnacentral:misc_RNA from 1 species
UACCAAGCAGCAAACAUAUUCUUGUUUAAGGUUUAAUGAGUACUUUCCACAAAUAGUAACACCAUAAACUCAUGAAACUAAGAGCAAACAGAUGAUGACUGCAGAAGUUCCCUGAAGUUCUUUCUAUCUCCUGUAGUGAAAAAUAAAGAGUCCUUCUCGCAGAAAACUACCACGAAAUCCCCAAGUUACAACAUUAUGAUUAUUAACCAAGGAAAAAUAAAGUUUAUUACCGCCCCCUUGAUACAGCGUGAUUCAUAUCCUCGAUUGAAGAUGGGAAAAGCUCAACGUAACGACUUCCAAGUGUCAUCCUAUCCUUUGCCAGGGCUGCUCCUAAGGUUCGAUUCCUCACCAAAAUCUACCAUCCGAACAUCGAUAAGCUUGGAAGGAUAUGUCUUGAUAUUCUUAAAGACAAAUGGAGUCCUGCUCUUCAGAUCCGUACUGUACUUUUGAGCAUUCAAGCACUUUUGAGUGCUCCAAAUCCAGAUGAUCCACUCUCUGAAAACAUUGCUAAGCACUGGAAGUCAAAUGAGGUCGAAGCUGUUGAAACGGCUAAGGAGUGGACACGCCUAUAUGCUAGUGGUGCAUGAAGAUAUAGCAACGAAAUGUUCAAAAUAACAAAAAUCAUGGAAUGUAAUCAAAUAUUGACUGGCUUAUCAAUAUGAACCUGGAUAGCACCCUCCAAAUUUGUAUAAUUGAACAUGACACCCUUUUGUUUUUUAAUGUUCAGGAAUGAACUUGUUACAACAAAACUGGAAAAUGGUAAGGAUUUUGUCACUGCAAAGAGUAGUAAAUGAUUCAGAUCUGUGGGUUUGGAAUUGAAACGUACUGUUGCUGCGUUGCUUCUAUCAACAACCUCCAUAGA